UUUUCCAGUCCUGGGAGUGGGAAGAGCAGACUCUGCAUUCAGAUCUGAGUUUGAAUUCAUCCUCUCUUGUUUACUGGUCCUCUGACUUUUGUCAAGUUAUCUACCCUCUUUGAACUCCUAUUUUCUUGUCUCUCAAAAUAGGAGAAUUACGGACUGCUGCUAGAGUGUUUGAUCAGUGUAAAUGAUUUGUGUCUAUAAGAUGCCACGUACAGUCACAAGCUCAGUGAGAAAUGGGCUGUCACCUCUUCAUCUGCUACUCAGUGCUCGACAGGACAUCGGGGCAAAGCCAGUCCGUAAUUUGUUUGUGAUGCAACUGUCCACGUGGGUCAAAUCAUGGUGCCCCUCUAAUACCUCCAAAAAAACCACAAAGUUUAUUCUCUAUUUUGCAACUUGCCAUCUCUACAUAAGUGCAGAAGAGUUAACAUCGUGAAAGAUCAGAGCCCGGAGAAGAGGCUCUCCUGGAUAUUUCAGGCUAAAGGCAACUUUCUUUUACAAAAGGAUCUGAGGAGCAGGAGCAAGGAACGCAGGGAGAGAUCCAGGAAGACAUCUGACUGUGUUAAGAGACGACAGUCACAGCCACACGGGGAGCGAGGACACUUGCAGCAAAGUAAAACGACUUCACAACUAUUGCAUCAGAGCUGCCGGUGUGAGAGAGCCUAAGCCUGUCUCAGAGUGCAGGGGACAAGAGGAAAGGAAUGUGUAAGAAUGCCA